rnacentral:rRNA from 1 species
UUACCUGGUUGAUCCUGCCAGUAGUCAUAUGCUUGUCUCAAAGAUUAAGCCAUGCAUGUCUAAGUACAUACCUGCCUAAGGUGAAACCGCGAAUGGCUCAUUAAAUCAGUUACGGUUCCUUAGAUAUUAAAAAUCUACAUGGAUAACUGUGGUAAUUCUAGAGCUAAUACAUGCACAAAAGAUUCGACCCUCUGGGAAGAAUCGCUUUAUUAGACCAAGAUCAAUGGGAUCCUUCGGGUUCCUUUGUAUGGUGACUCUGGAUAACUGAGCUAAUCGCAUGGCCUAUGCCCGGCGAUGAGUCUUUCAAGUGUCUGCCUUAUCAACUUUCGAUGGUAGGUUAUGCGCCUACCAUGGUUGUAACGGGUAACGGGGAAUCAGGGUUCGAUUCCGGAGAGGGAGCCUGAGAAACGGCUACCACAUCUAAGGAAGGCAGCAGCCCAAAAUUACCCACUCCCGGCACGGGGAGGUAGUGACGAAAAAUAACGAUGCGGGACUCAUCCGAGGCCUCGCAAUCGGAAUGAGUACACUUUAAAUCCUUUAACGAGGAUCUAUUGGAGGGCAAGUCUGGUGCCAGCAGCCGCGGUAAUUCCAGCUCCAAUAGCGUAUAUUAAAGUUGCUGCGGUUAAAAAGCUCGUAGUUGGAUUCGAGUCACGGAGCGAGGGUUCACCGCCCGGUGCUUACUCUCAGCCAUCCGGACGUUGAUGUCGGCGUGGCACGGGGUGCUCUUCACCGAGUGUCCCGGCGCCGCCGACGAGUUUACUUUGAAAAAAUUAGAGUGCUCAGAGCAGGCCGUUACGCGCUGAAUAGUUGUGCAUGGAAUAAUGGAAUAGGACCUCGGUUCUAUUUUGUUGGUUUUCGGAACCCGAGGUAAUGACUAAUAGGAACAGUCGGGGGCAUUCGUAUUGCGACGUUAGAGGUGAAAUUCUUGGAUCGUCGCAAGACGAACUACUGCGAAGGCAUUUGCCAAGAAUGUUUUCAUUAAUCAAGAACGAAAGUUAGAGGUUCGAAGGCGAUCAGAUACCGCCCUAGUUCUAACCAUAAACGAUGCCAACUAGCGAUCCGCCGGCGUUAUUCCCAUGACUCGGCGGGCAGCUUCCGGGAAACCAAAGUUUUUGGGUUCCGGGGGAAGUAUGGUUGCAAAGCUGAAACUUAAAGGAAUUGACGGAAGGGCACCACCAGGAGUGGAGCCUGCGGCUUAAUUUGACUCAACACGGGGAACCUCACCAGGCCCGGACACCGAAAGGAUUGACAGAUUGAGAGCUCUUUCUCGAUUCGGGGGGUGGUGGUGCAUGGCCGUUCUUAGUU